GAAAUGCGAUAAGUAAUGUGAAUUGCAGAAUUCAGUGAAUCAUCGAAUCUUUGAACGCACAUUGCGCCCUCUGGUAUUCCGGAGGGCAUGCCUGUUCGAGCGUCAAGACAACAACCUCCUCCUAGCCUUUUAUCGGGUGAAGGGGGGUCCUGACCGUUAGGUGUCGAACCCUCUGGGCCCGUCACCCGGUUCAAAUUUGCGGUCUUGUAGGUCAAAGGGAUGUCCCGACGUAGUAUAAAUGAUCUCGUCAAGGUUCCCCCCGAGUUCCUAAGACCUUAAGCGUUCAGACGCCACAAACUUUUGCUGUUUGACCUCGGAUCAGGUAGGGAUACCCGCUGAACUUAA
rnacentral:misc_RNA from 1 species